rnacentral:rRNA from 1 species
UUGACAUGCAGAGAACUUCAGAGAUGGAUUGGUGCCUUCGGGAACUCUGACACAGGUGCUGCAUGGCUGUCGUCAGCUCGUGUCGUGAGAUGUUGGGUUAAGUCCGUAACGAGCGCAACCCUUGUCCUUAGUUACCAGCACGUUAUGGUGGGCACUCUAAGGAGACUGCCGGUGACAAACCGGAGGAAGGUGGGGGAUGACGUCAAGUCAUCAUGGCCCUUACGGCCUGGGCUACACACGUGCUACAAUGGUCGGUACAAAGGGUUGCCAAGCCGCGAGGUGGAGCUAAUCCCAUAAAACCGAUCGUAGUCCGGAUCGCAGUCUGCAACUCGACUGCGUGAAGUCGGAAUCGCUAGUAAUCGUGAAUCAGAACUGUCACGGUGAAAUACGUUCCGGGCCUUG